UACAGAGGUCCCGAGCGUUGUUCGGAUUCACUGGGCGUAAAGGGUGCGCAGGUGGUUUGGCAAGUUUGAUGUGAAAGCCCCAGGCUUAACCCGGGAAUGGCAUUGAAUACUGCUUGAACUGGAGGGUCGGAGGGGGGACUGGAAUUCUUGGUGUAGCAGUGAAAUGCGUAGAUAUCAAGAGGAACACCAGUGGCGAAGGCGAGUCCCUGGACGAUACCUGACACUGAGGCACGAAAGCCAAGGGAGCAAACAGG
rnacentral:rRNA from 1 species